AAUUUAAUAAAAAUUAUUUCUCAUAUAUCCCUGAUAAUAGGGUCAGGGGUUUCUACGAGGCGACCGUAAUUGCUUCUCUAUGAGCCAACAGAUGGUUUAU
rnacentral:ncRNA from 2 species